rnacentral:rRNA from 1 species
AGGUGAACCUGCGGAAGGAUCAUUAUUGAAGCUUAGAGCGCGCUUUAUUGCGGCUCGACCCCUUCACAUCCAUUCACCCUGUGCACUGUAAUAAUUUAUUGCUAAACCCUACUAGUUGAUGAAUGUAAAAGACCCUUAUAAUUAUCAUAAAACUUUCAACAACGGAUCUCUUGGCUCUCGCAUCGAUGAAGAACGCAGCGAAAUGCGAUAAGUAAUGUGAAUUGCAGAAUUCAGUGAAUCAUCGAAUCUUUGAACGCACCUUGCGCCUUUUGGUAUUCCGAAAGGCACACCUGUUUGAGCGUCAUGAAUACCUCAACCCCCCCUUGCUAUCUUUUGAUGCAUGGGGUGGCUUGGAUGUUGAGCAUUGCUGGCCUGGUUUAAGCAACCAAAGCCAGCUUGCUUUAAAUGCAUCAGCCGGCUCUGUACUUGAUUGGUCCGACUCAACGUGAUAACAUCUUCGUUGAGGAUUUGCAUUAUCAUAGAUAAAUGCAGCCAGAAAGUACAAAGCAGCUUUCUAGCCCCUGCCAUCUUUUACAUUUUAGACCUCAAAUCAGGUGGGACUACCCGCUGAACUUAAGCAUAUCAAUAAGCG